rnacentral:rRNA from 1 species
GAUGAACGCUGGCGGUAUGCCUAACACAUGCAAGUCGAACGAAAUCUUCGGAUUUAGUGGCGGAAGGGUGAGUAACGCGUGAGAAUCUGCCUCGAGGAUGGGGACAACAGUUGGAAACGACUGCUAAUACCCAAUAUGGCGAAAGCUGAAAUUUUUAGCCUUGAGAGGAGCUCGCGUCCGAUUAGUUAGUUGGUGGUGUAAAGGACUACCAAGGCAGCGAUCGGUAGCUGGUCUGAGAGGAUGAGCAGCCACACUGGGACUGAGACACGGCCCAG